UUAAUUUUAUUUUUAAACUUGCUAAAAAUCAAAUUCUUAUACUGGAAUGCAACAGUUGUAUUAGCUGAUAAUUUCUGCUAAUUAUAUCAGAAUUGUAAAAAUAAUUUUUUUUUAGUUUUACAGGUUUUCUUUAUUCCUCUGCCUAGGGUCAGCUUUACCUGCUGGUGACAGACCAGGGUUUUCUUACAGAAGAGAAAGUUGUCUGGGAAAGUUUACACAAUGUGGAUGGUGAUGGAAAUUUCUGUGAUUCUGAAUUCCACCUACGGCCUCCGUCAGACCCUGAAACUGUCUACAGAGGGCAGCAGGAUCAAAUAGAUCAAGAUUAUCUGAUGGCAUUGUCUCUACAACAAGAGCAGCAAAGUCAAGAGAUUAACUGGGAACAGAUCCCUGAAGGAAUCAGCGAUCUAGAGCUAGCAAAGAAGCUCCAGGAAGAGGAGGACAGGAGAGCUUCUCAGUUCUAUCAGGAACAAGAACAAGCAGCUGCUCAGGUCCAGCAGGUGCAAGGUCCUGCUUCUCCAGCAAGCGGAAGACAAUCUGGGAGUAAUGAACGCAAACGUAAAGAGCCUCGAGAGAAAGAGAGAGAAAAAGAGAAGAAUAGCUGUGUUCUCUUGUAAUAGAAAAUGGAUUUAGUCUGGAGCCAAGUGCAUGUCCUCAGAAGCAAAAACAAGGAAUAACAAGGAAGACAAACCUGUUACAUGCCGCCUGUGCCUGAUUACCCCCAUGGAUUUUGUUCAUGUUUCAAGAGAGGACGGAAGACUUUGUUACAAUCAUACAGACUUUCUUCAAAGUCAUAGUGUGUGCUGCUCAAGAUGGAAUUCCAAGUCACAGUUGGAUGUGGCUGUGCUUUGAGUUAGUCCUAAGAAAUAAAUACUGCACCUUGUAGCUGAACACACAAGUCAUGGCAAGUUUUGUGUCACAGUGACAUCCAUUACUCAUUACAUCAGUCAGUAAGCUAUUUUAUCUUCUGUGUUAAACAAAGGAGGCAAUUAAUUUUGUCCAAGACUUUCCUGAAGUCUGUAUACUAGCACAACAAGAAUUCUGUGUUACAAGGUAUGAAGCUGUAUCUUAGGCUGGGUAUAGUCUUCACGACACAGGAGCCCAAAUAACAGCUGGGCACUGCCUCCUCCAUGUGUCAAAAUUCUUUGCUUCUGGAUCUGGUAUGUUUGUUUUUUUUGAACCCAGAUUUAUACUGUGUUACUGCUAUCAUUGCACCUCCUGGCCAGCUUUCCUGCCCCAAGAAUAUGUGACUUGAUGGGCACCAUACAAAAAUAUUAUAGAAAAUGGGGCAUUUAUUAAUAAGCAAGAUGAAUAUUGUUUGCUUUUCUUGCAAUUGCAAACUGGGUAUGGCAAUUCAGAUGUUAUCAGGGUUAAACAAGUAAUUUU